rnacentral:lncRNA from 1 species
CGCGGGUUAUGAACGUAAAGGAUGUAAAACUGCUCGCGUUAUCAGAAAUGAGGGAAUCGGGCAGGCGUACACACAGUUCUAGCAACAGGACGAGAAGGAACGUCCUCAAGUUAAACCAGAGAUGGUUCCGGUUGGACAUCAGGAAAGAUUUCUUCUCGGAAAGAACAGCGAUGCACUGACACGGGCUGCCCAGGGAGGCGGCGGGAGCACCGCCUGUGGAGGUCUUCUUCACCUAUAGAGUGAACUCCUAGUGUAGAGGAGUUCCGAACAGGAAAGACCCAGAAACAUCCCACAGGCACUGCACACAGUGACAGACUGGAAGAAACA